rnacentral:rRNA from 1 species
UGCAAGUCGAACGAUGCCUUCGGGCAUAGUGGCGCACGGGUGCGUAACGCGUGGGAAUCUACCCUUGGGUUCGGAAUAACUUCGGGAAACUGAAGCUAAUACCGGAUGAUGACGUAAGUCCAAAGAUUUAUCGCCCAGGGAUGAGCCCGCGUAGGAUUAGCUAGUUGGUGGGGUAAAGGCUCACCAAGGCGACGAUCCUUAGCUGGUCUGAGAGGAUGAUCAGCCACACUGGGACUGAGGCACGGCCCAGACUCCUACGGGAGGCAGCAGUAGGGAAUAUUGGACAAUGGGCGAAAGCCUGAUCCAGCAAUGCCGCGUGAGUGAUGAAGGCCUUAGGGUUGUAAAGCUCUUUUACCCGAGAUGAUAAUGACAGUAUCGGGAGAAUAAGCUCCGGCUAACUCCGUGCCAGCAGCCGCGGUAAUACGGAGGGAGCUAGCGUUGUUCGGAAUUACUGGGCGUAAAGCGCACGUAGGCGGCGAUUUAAGUCAGAGGUGAAAGCCCGGGGCUCAACCCCGGAACUGCCUUUGAGACUGGAUUGCUAGAAUCUUGGAGAGGCGAGUGGAAUUCCGAGUGUAGAGGUGAAAUUCGUAGAUAUUCGGAAGAACACCAGUGGCG